rnacentral:rRNA from 1 species
GUGAAGUCAUUGAUGCCAUGCUUCCAGGAAAAGCCUCUAAGCUUCAGAUUGUAAGGAAUCGUACCCCAAACCGACACAGGUGGUCGGGUAGAGAAUACCAAGGCGCUUGAGAGAACUCGGGUGAAGGAACUAGGCAAAAUGGUACCGUAACUUCGGGAGAAGGUACGCUCUUGACGGUGAAGUCCCUCGCGGAUGGAGCUAUUGAGAGUCGCAGAUACCAGGUGGCUGCAACUGUUUAUUAAAAACACAGCACUGUGCAAAAUCGUAAGAUGACGUAUACGGUGUGACGCCUGCCCGGUGCCGGAAGGUUAAUUGAUGGGGUUAGACUUCGGUCGAAGCUCUUGAUCGAAGCCCCGGUAAACGGCGGCCGUAACUAUAACGGUCCUAAGGUAGCGAAAUUCCUUGUCGGGUAAGUUCCGACCUGCACGAAUGGCGUAAUGAUGGCCACGCUGUCUCCACCCGAGACUCAGUGAAAUUGAAAUCGCUGUGAAGAUGCAGUGUACCCGCGGCUAGACGGAAAGACCCCGUGAACCUUUACUACAGCUUGGCACUGAACAUUGACCCUACAUGUGUAGGAUAGGUGGGAGGCUUUGAAGCACGUACGCCAGUAUGUGUGGAGCCGUCCUUGAAAUACCACCCUUGUAGUGUUGAUGUUCUAACGUCGACCCCUUAUCGGGGUUGCGGACAGUGCCUGGUGGGUAGUUUGACUGGGGCGGUCUCCUCCCAAAGAGUAACGGAGGAGCACGAAGGUGGGCUAAUCACGGUUGGACAUCGUGAGGUUAGUGCAAUGGCAUAAGCCCGCUUGACUGCGAGAAUGACAAUUCGAGCAGGUGCGAAAGCAGGUCAUAGUGAUCCGGUGGUUCUGAAUGGAAGGGCCAUCGCUCAACGGAUAAAAGGUACUCCGGGGAUAACAGGCUGAUACCGCCCAAGAGUUCAUAUCGACGGCGGUGUUUGGCACCUCGAUGUCGGCUCAUCACAUCCUGGGGCUGAAGUCGGUCCCAAGGGUAUGGCUGUUCGCCAUUUAAAGUGGUACGCGAGCUGGGUUUAGAACGUCGUGAGACAGUUCGGUCCCUAUCUGCCGUGGGCGUUGGAAGAUUGAAGGGGGCUGCUCCUAGUACGAGAGGACCGGAGUGGACGAACCUCUGGUGUUCGGGUUGUGUCGCCAGACGCAUUGCCCGGUAGCUAAGUUCGGAAUCGAUAACCGCUGAAAGCAUCUAAGCGGGAAGCGAGCCCUGAGAUGAGUCUUCCCUGAUACUUUAAGUAUCCUAAAGGGUUGUCGGAGACUACGACGUUGAUAGGUCAGGUGUGUAAGUGCUGUGAGGCAUUGAGCUAACUGAUACUAAUUGCCCGUGAGGCUUAACCAUACAACACCCAAGGGGUUU